rnacentral:rRNA from 1 species
UACGGAGGAGGCAAGCGUUAUCCGGAAUUAUUGGGCGUAAAGCGUCCGCAGGUGGCACCUCAAGUCUGCUGUCAAAGACCGGGGCUUAACCCCAGAAAGGCAGUGGAAACUGAAGUGCUAGAGUGCAGUAGGGGUAGGGGGAAUUCCCGGUGUAGCGGUGAGAUGCGUAGAGAUCGGGAAGAACAUCGGUGGCGAAAGCGCUCUGCUGGACUGCAACUGACACUCAGGGACGAAAGCUAGGGGAGCGAAUGGG